rnacentral:rRNA from 1 species
GACGAACGCUGGCGGCGUGCUUAGCACAUGCAAGUCGAACGGAAAGGCCCUGCUUUUGUGGGGUGCUCGAGUGGCGAACGGGUGAGUAACACGUGAGUAACCUGCCCUUGACUUUGGGAUAACUUCAGGAAACUGGGGCUAAUACCGGAUAGGAGCUCCUGCUGCAUGGUGGGGGUUGGAAAGUUUCGGCGGUUGGGGAUGGACUCGCGGCUUAUCAGCUUGGUGGUGGGGUAGUUGCUUACCAAGGCUUUGACGGGUAGCCGGCCUGAGAGGGUGACAGGCCACAGUGGGACUGAGAUACGGGCAAGAGUCAUACGGGCGGCAGCAGUGGGGAAUAUUGCAAGAUGGGCGGAAGCCUGAAGCAGCAACGCCGCGUGGGGGAUGACGGCCUUCGGGUUGUAAACCGCUUUCGCCUGUGACGAAGCGUGAGUGACGGUAAUGGGUAAAGAAGCAACGGCUAACUACGUG